rnacentral:rRNA from 1 species
CACGAACCGUGCGAACGUUAUUCGGAAUUACUGGGCUUAAAGAGUUCGUAGGCGGCGUGUUAAGUUGGGUGUGAAAUCCCUUGGCUCAACCAAGGAAUUGCGCUCAAAACUAGCAUGCUUGAGGGAGACAGGGGUGAGCGGAACUGAUGGUGGAGCGGUGAAAUGCGUAGAUAUCAUCAGGAACACCGGUGGCGAAGGCGGCUCACUGGGUCUCUUCUGACGCUGAGGAACGAAAGCUAGGGGAGCGAACGGG